rnacentral:rRNA from 1 species
CAGUCGCCGCGGUAAUACGAAGGGGGCUAGCGUUGUUCGGAUUUACUGGGCGUAAAGCGCACGUAGGCGGAUUCUUAAGUCAGAGGUGAAAUCCCAAGGCUCAACCUUGGAACUGCCUUUGAUACUGGGGAUCUUGAGUUCGGGAGAGGUGAGUGGAACUGCGAGUGUAGAGGUGAAAUUCGUAGAUAUUCGCAAAAACACCAGUGGCGAAGGCGGCUCACUGGCCCGAUACUGACGCUGAGGUGCGAAAGCGUGGGGAGCAAACAGGAUUAGAUACCCGUGUAGUCCCUGUCUCUUAUAU